AUACGGAGGGUGCAAGCGUUAAUCGGAAUUACUGGGCGUAAAGCGUACGUAGGCGGUGAGUUAAGUUAGAUGUGAAAGCCCCGGGCUCAACCUGGGAACUGCAUUUAAAACUGGCUCACUAGAGUUGAGUAGAGGGGAGUGGAAUUUCAGGUGUAGCGGUGAAAUGCGUAGAGAUCUGAAGGAACACCAGUGGCGAAGGCGACUCCCUGGACUCGAACUGACGCUGAGGUACGAAAGCGUAGGUAGCAAACGGGAUUAGAAACCCUAGUAGUCC
rnacentral:rRNA from 1 species